AAAUUGAACAAGUAAAGUGGAAAGAAGCCAUGGACAAGGAAAUGAAAUCCAAGGGGGAACAUGAAGUGUACACAUCUAUGACUUUGCUACAGGGUAGCAAAGCUGUUGGAUGCAAGUGGGUAUGAAGAAAGUACUGCCCAAUAAUGAGGUACAAUAUAAAGCAAGGUUAGUGGCACAAGGGUUUUCACAGAUGAAAAAUGUGCACUAUGAUGAGGUAUUCGCGCCAACUGUAAAGAGUGAAAGCAUCAGGCUGGCACUAACGUUGGCAGUGGCACAUGGCCAUAAAAUUUGGCAUUUUGACAUAACCACUGCAUUUCUCAAUGCAGAAUUAGAGGAAGAAA